rnacentral:rRNA from 1 species
AAAGGAAUUGACGGGACCCCGCACAAGCGGUGGAUCAUGUUGUUUAAUUCGAAGAUACGCGAAGAACCUUACCAGGUCUUGACAUCCCCUGCAAUACUAUAGAGAUAUAGUGGAGGUUACCAGGGUGACAGGUGGUGCAUGGUUGUCGUCAGCUCGUGUCGUGAGAUGUUCGGUUAAGUCCGGUAACGAGCGCAACCCUCGUUGUUAGUUGCCAUCAUUAAGUUGGGGACUCUAACAAGACUGCCAGUGAUAAACUGGAGGAAGGUGGGGAUGACGUCAAAUCAUCAUGCCCCUUAUGACCUGGGCUACAAACGUGAUACAAUGGCUGGAACAAAGGGAAGCGAAAGGGUGACCUGGAGCAAAACUCAUAAAAACAGUCUCAGUUCGGAUUGAAGUCUGCAACUCGACUUCAUGAAGUUGGAAUCGCUAGUAAUCGUGAAUCAGAAUGUCACGGUGAAUACGUUCUCGGGGUUUGCACACACCGCCCGU